GCCCGCUUAGCUCAGCCGGUAGAGCGUCGAGCCUUUAACUCGACGGUCGCGAGUUCGAGCCUCGCAGUGGGUG